AAUUCCCUGCGGUGUACGCGCAAAGGCCUCUUAGUUCCUUGAACCGAUGCGCAUUGCGCAAGGUUGUUGGGCUCGCGUCGCGGUGCGAUCGGCACGCGUCUGCUGAACCUAAACGUCGCGGACAACGACCCCCCUGAACCGAUGGUUCAGGACAUCAGGCCGGGCGGCACGCGCGGGGGCUUA
rnacentral:other from 1 species